GACGAACGCUGGCGGCGUGCUUAACACAUGCAAGUCGAGCGGUAAGGCCCUUUCGGGGGUACACGAGCGGCGAACGGGUGAGUAACACGUGGGUGACCUGCCCUCAGCUCUGGGAUAAGCCUGGGAAACCGGGUCUAAUACUGGAUAUGACUCCAUGACGCAUGUUGUGGGGUGGAAAGCCUUGUGCGGCUGAGGAUGGGCCCGCGGCCUAUCAGCUUGUUGGUGGGGUGAUGGCCUACCAAGGCGACGACGGGUAGCCGGCCUGAGAGGGCGACCGGCCGACACUGGGACUGAGACACGGCCCAGACUCCUACGGGAGGCAGCAGUGGGGAAUCUUGCGCAAUGGGCGAAAGCCUGACGCAGCGACGCCGCGUGAGGGAUGACGGCCU
rnacentral:rRNA from 1 species